rnacentral:rRNA from 1 species
CCUACGGGCGGCAGCAGUGGGGAAUAUUGGACAAUGGGGGAAACCCUGAUCCAGCGACGCCGCGUGAGUGAAGAAGUAUUUCGGUAUGUAAAGCUCUAUCAGCAGGAAAGAAAAUGACGGUACCUGACUAAGAAGCCCCGGCUAACUACGUGCCAGCAGCCGCGGUAAUACGUAGGGGGCAAGCGUUAUCCGGAUUUACUGGGUGUAAAGGGAGCGUAGACGGCAGCGCAAGUCUGGAGUGAAAUGCCGGGGCUCAACCCCGGAACUGCUCUGGAAACUGUGAAGCUGGAGUGCAGGAGAGGUAAGCGGAAUUCCUGGUGUAGCGGUGAAAUGCGUAGAUAUCAGGAGGAACACCAGCGGCGAAGGCGGCUUACUGGACUGUAACUGACGUUGAGGCUCGAAGGCGUGGGGAGCAAACAGGAUUAGAUACCCGAGUAGUC